rnacentral:rRNA from 1 species
UGGGGGAGUAUUGCACAAUGGGGGGAACCCGUGAUGCAGCGACGCCGCGUGGGUGAAGAAGCGCCUCGGCGCGUAAAGCCCUGUCAGCAGGGAAGGAAAAUGACGGUACCUGAAGAAGAAGCCCCGGCUAACUACGUGCC